AUUUUAUCCCAUUCUUUCUUUUCUUUUUCUCUUUUCUUUCUUCUCUUCCUCACCCGCACAGCCCCUGUUGCACGCCCAUCUCCUUUUCUUCUUCUUCUUCGCAUGCCCGAGUGACCCACAAAGAGAGAUGUCGAGAGACUGAGAGGGAAAAAGAGAAGAGAGAGUUUCAGAGGGAGAUACCGAGAGAUGAGAGAGGGAGGGUGAGAGAUGAAACCGAAGGGGGGAGAACCAGAGUACCCACAACCCAGGGGAGGUCCGAUCCUCCAUGACCGGCGGCUAGAGUCGAAAUCCGGCAGAACCCGAUGGAUUUCCGGCGUAGACCCGCUGCACCAUGAAGACCCGUGGCUCAGAACCCCUCGAACCCGUGACCCGUUGAACCCAAGAGGAGACCCGGUUCUCCAUGUGCUUUUCCGGCGAGUUUUCCGGCGGUCCAGUGAGCCAAUUUCCAGUCUUGCUUCGGAUAGUGUCCGAAUUGGAGACUUCAAUUGGUUCUCCAAUGUAGAAUUCGAGUCGUGGGUCCAAUGCAGCUGAGAUGAUGUUUCUUUGACUGCAGGUACUUCGGUAUAGUUGAUAGAUUGGUAGCAGUGUACUUGGAAUAUUAUGACUGAAGCUUGCCGUGACGGUUGUAGUUGUCAGACCACGGGUUGUCCACUAUUUUAUAGGUCAGGUAUGGCUUGUGACACUUGUGUCACUUAUUCUUUAUUAAGCCAUUAUUGUUAUGUAAAUAUUGUGUUAAUAAGACUCAAACAGAUAGAUGUUAAAUGGCUCUUUGUUGUAAUUAAUUUGUGAUAGAUGUGUAAAUUGUAAUUUCUGCUA